UGGGGAAUAUUGGGCAAUGGGCGAAAGCCUGACCCAGCAACGCCGCGUGAGGGAAGAAGGCCUUCGGGUUGUAAACCUCUGUCCUUGGGGACGAAAAAAAUGACGGUAGCCAAGGAGGAAGCCCCGGCUAACUACGUGCCAGCAGCCGCGGAAAUCCGUGGGGGGGGGGCGUUGCCCGGAAUUACUGGGCGUAAAGGGUGCGUAGGUGGCCUUUUAAGUUGGAUGUGAAAUCCCCGGGCUUAACUUGGGUGGUGCAUCUAAUACUGGAGGGCUAGAGUGCAGGAGAGGGAAGCGGAAUUCCUAGUGUAGCGGUGAAAUGCGUAGAUAUUAGGAGGAACACCAGUGGCGAAGGCGGCUUUCUGGACUGUAACUGACACUGAGGCACGAAGGCGUGGGGAGCAAACAG
rnacentral:rRNA from 1 species